rnacentral:rRNA from 1 species
UACGGAGGGUGCAAGCGUUAAUCGGAAUUACUGGGCGUAAAGAGUGCGUAGGUGGUUUAGUGUGUUAGAUGUGAAAUCCAUGGGCUUAACCUGUGAAUUGCAUUUAAAACUGCUGAGCUAGAGUGUUGUAGAGGGUGGCGGAAUUUCCAGUGUAGCGGUGAAAUGCGUAGAUAUUGGAAGGAACACCAGUGGCGAAGGCGGCCACCUGGACAAACACUGACACUGAGGCACGAAAGCGUGGGUAGCGAACAGG